AUGACCUUACUUGAACAGGAUCUGUUCUAUAGGCUCAUACCGCUGCAUCCUUUAGAGGCAAGCACUUCAGUCUGGAUGCGCUCUGACAAGUGGGCCAGAGCGUGAUUAUCGGCCAGGAAUGCAUCUGAUGGAUGGAUUCGACGGCUGUAGAUGAUCGUUCCUGCCAGGGUGGCCUAGUGGUAGUGGUUGUCUGACAGACA
rnacentral:snoRNA from 1 species